UGACUUCAAGUGAUUCGCCCACCUUGGCCUCCCAGAGUGCUGCAAUUACAGGCGUGAGCCACCUUGCCCGGCCCUGAGUGGGACUUAAAUGCAGGUCUAGCCUAAUUUAGAGCUCCAAGCCCGAAUCAAACUUGACUUGUAAAGCCAAUAAAAACCCCUUGGAGAAUUGGCCUCAGAUCUUGUCUGCAACAGUCCCUAUAAAGGAACUGGCCAUAAAGAAAUUCUCUGACAUGCCUGUCUAAUGUGGAUCAUAAGCAUCUUAUUCCAGAGGAGUCCUGCUCUAUACCCAGCAGGAAGGAAUCCUACUCAGAGAGGUCAAGAAGAAUGUAAACAGAUAGGCUUUGCUGGGUUCCCCUUUCAAUCUGUUACCAUUAUAUCAUACCCUUUUUGUCCAAUCACAUUUCUACACAGCUGUCCGUUCUUCAUGGAGCCCAAGCAUAAAAAUACUUUUCCCUGG